AAUUCUCCAUGAAUGUACGUCACCAUGAUGAUGACCGACCAGAUCCCCCUGGAACUGCCACCCCUGCUCAAUGGGGAGGUGGCCAUGAUGCCCCACUUGGUGAACGGAGAAGCAGCUCAGCAGGUUGGUGAUUCUGGGGGUCUGUGUGGGAAACAGCCGACUGUGUGGUUUACUUGGGGAUGCAGAGGCCUUUGCUUUUUUAAUUCUGUUGUUCCUAGAGAAGUCUUUUUGUUAUUAUACAAUUACUUUAUUAUUUUUAAAAUACCUGAAAAA
rnacentral:lncRNA from 1 species